GAACGCUGGCGGCGUGCUUAACACAUGCAAGUCGAACGAAGAUGCCGGAGUGCUUGCACUUUGGCAGACUGAGUGGCGGACGGGUGAGUAACGCGUGGGUAACCUGCCUUUCAGUGGGGGGACAACAGUUGGAAACGACUGCUAAUACCGCAUAAUGCUUUUUGAUGGCAUCAUUGAAAAGCCAAAGAUUUAUUGCUGAAAGAUGGCCUCGCGUCUGAUUAGCUAGUUGGUGGGGUAACGGCCCACCAAGGCGACGAUCAGUAGCCGGUCUGAGAGGAUGAACGGCCACAUUGGGACUGAGACACGGCCCAGACUCCUACGGGAGGCAGCAGUGGGGAAUCUUCCGCAAUGGGCGAAAGCCUGACGGAGCAACGCCGCGUGAACGAUGAAGGUCUUAGGAUCGUAAAGUUCUGUUGUUAGGGACGAAGGGCAAGGGUUAUAAUACAGCCUUUGUUUGACGGUACCUAACGAGGAAGCCACGGCUAACUACGUG
rnacentral:rRNA from 1 species